CGAGCCGGGCGGACGGCCGCGUGGAGUCCCCCUGACGGGGAGCUUCCCGAGGAACGUCCGGGCUCCACAGGGCAGGGUGGUGGCUAACGGCCACCCGGGGUGACCCGCGGGACAGUGCCACAGAAAGCAAACCGCCGAGGGCUCCGGCCCUCGGUAAGGGUGAAACGGUGGUGUAAGAGACCACCAGUGCCUGGGGUGACUCAGGCAGCUAGGUAAACCCCACCCGGAGCAAGGUCAAAAGGGAGCGCCUUCUGGGACACGAAGGUGCUCCUGCGCGGACGCUCGAGGGCUGCCCGCCCGAGUCCGCGGGUAGACCGCACGAGGCCGGUGGCAACGCCGGCCCUAGAUGGAUGGCCGUCGCCCGGGGCUCCGCGAGGAACUCCGGGAACAGAACCCGGCGUACAGCCCGACUCGUCUG
rfam:Streptomyces swartbergensis strain HMC13 scaffold264.1, whole genome shotgun sequence.